UCAGGAAGCUAAAGGGAGGUUCAGUUCCCUCCGUGUUUACAUGGACUCAACAGCCAAACGAAAGGAAAACCUUACGAUCACAAGAAAAAUGGCAUUUAGAGGAAGAACAUGAGGAAGAUGAAAGUUCUACAAAGGAUGGACCAAGCAACGAAGAAUGGUUAGUAGAAAUCUAUCAUACAAAAUGUGUACCAUAUUUUCUGCACUAUAAGGCGCACUUAAAAGCCUUUAAUUUUCUCAAAAAAUGACAGUAAGCCUUAUAAUCCGGAGCGCUUUAUAUAUGGAUCAAGGCGCUCAAGGCGUCUUUAUCUGACUGUUUAGUUGACAUUCCCUUUAUCACAGCUCUAUCUAGUGGAUGCAUAACACAAACCCAGUCAAACGUUCGACUGCAGUAUCUUCUAUUCUAUGCGCCUUAUAAUCCAGUGCGCCCUAUAUAUGAAAACAGUUCUAAUAGGCCA